GGCCGGAGCGCUCCCUGCUACGAGCGGCCAGGCGCCUUGACCGCACAGGCUGGUGGGGAGGAGCGCGGCUGCGCGAACGCUUCUCUGAGCCCUGCCUUGGGACACCGGGACUACAUCUCCCAGCAGCCCUUGCGCUUCAGGCCGGGGGCGUGCGCAGUCGCGUCUCCAAUACCGCCCGCCUCAGCGGCGUCGCGCGGGGCGGCCAAAGAUGGCGGCACGCUGGAGCAGCGAGAAUGUGGUGGUGGAGUUCCGGGACUCGCAGGCAACUGCUAUGUCAGUGGAUUGUCUUGGACAGCAUGCGGUGCUCUCAGGCCGCCGUUUCCUCUACCUAGUUAACCUGGAUGUGCCAACCGAAGGUCACCGCAAGAUCUCCCGUCAGAGCAAAUGGGACAUUGGGGCAGUGCAAUGGAAUCCACAUGACAGCUAUGCACACUACUUUGCAGCUUCGAGCAACCAGCGAGUUGACCUGUAUAAAUGGAAAGAUGGUAAUGGGGAAGUUGGCACGUCACUGCAAGGGCACACGCGUGUGAUCAGUGAUUUAGACUGGGCGGUGUUUGAGCCAGAUCUGCUGGUUACCAGUUCUGUUGAUACGUACAUCUACGUUUGGGAUAUCAAGGACACCAGGAAACCUACAGUCUCACUCUCUGCAGUUGCUGGAGCCUCCCAGGUCAAAUGGAACAAGAAAAACGCCAGCUGUUUAGCAACCAGCCACGAUGGGGAUGUCCGUAUCUGGGACAAGCGGAAACCCAGCACUGCAGUGGAGUACUUGGCAGCGCAUCUCUCUAAAAUCCAUGGCCUGGACUGGCAUCCGGACAACGAGUACAUCCUGGCCACUUCCAGCCAGGACAACUCUGUCAGGUUCUGGGAUUACCGUCAGCCUCGGAAAUAUCUCAAUAUCCUCCCCUGCCAGGUUCCAGUCUGGAAGGCGAGAUACACGCCUUUCACCAACGGGCUGGUGACCGUGAUGGUUCCCCAGCUGCGGCGAGAGAACAGCCUCCUCCUUUGGAACACUUUUGACCUGAACACGCCAGUUCACACCUUCGUGGGACACGACGAUGUGGUGCUGGAGUUCCAGUGGAGAAAGCAGAAAGAAGGCUCCAAGGACUACCAGCUGGUCACGUGGUCUCGUGACCAGACGCUGCGGAUGUGGCGGGUUGACUCCCAGCUGCAGAGGCUGUGUGCUAACGAUAUCUUGGAAGGGGUUGACGAACUCAUUGAUGGGAUUGCCCUCCUGCCUGAGCCGGAUAAGACCCUCCACACCCAGGACUCUGAACCCCAGCAUAGCUCCGGGCAUGCAGACGAAGAAGCUUUAAAGGAAGAUUUCCAGAACGACCUCCUGGUGGGAAGAAAAUCGGACCAGCUGGGGCUGCCACAGACACUGCAGCAGGAGUUUUCCCUUAUCAACGUGCAGAUCCGUAACGUCAAUGUGGAGAUGGACGCAGUGAAUCGCAGCUGCACAGUGUCUGUGCACUGUGGGAACCAGAGAGUCAAGAUGCGGGUGAUGUUCCCGGUGCAGUAUCCCAAUAAUGCUGCACCCUCCUUCCAGUUUGCCCCCACUACCACUAUCAGCUCCACAAUGAAGGCAAAGCUGCUGAAGAUUUUGAACGACACUUCCCUGCAGAAGGUGAAGCGGAACCAGAGCUGCCUGGAGCCUUGCCUGCGUCAGCUGGUCUCCUACCUGGAGUCUGUUGUGAACCAGGACGACAGCACCUCCAGCAACCCCUAUGCUCUGACGAACACCGUAACACCGCCAUUGCCCACCUUCGCCCGGGUCUCUAAUGCCUACGGCUCCUACCAGGAUUCCAACAUCCCAUUUCCACGGACCUCUGGAGCCAGGUUCUGUGGUGCAGGUUACCUGGUAUAUUUUACAAGACCCAUGACAAUGCACCGUGCAGUCUCUCCUACAGAACCUACUCCCAGAUCUCUGUCAGCUUUAUCGGCCUAUCAUAGUGGCCUGAUCACGCCGAUGAAGAUCCGUACGGAAACCCCAGGCAAUCUGCGCUUGUACAGUGGGAGUCCCACCCGCAGUGAGAAGGAGCAGGUCUCCAUCAGCUCCUUCUACUACAAGGAGAGGAAAUCAAGGAGAUGGAAAAGCAAGCGUGAGGGGACAGAUGCCAAUAACCGACCUAUUAAAGCUGCUGGCAAAGUCAUCAUACAGGAUAUCUCUUGCCUGCUUCCCGUGCACAAAUCGCUAGGGGAGCAAUACAUACUGAACGUCAGUAACAUUCAGGAGACCUGCCAGAAGAAUGCCUCCUCAGCCCUGGCAGCUGGACGUAGGGAUCUUGUCCAGCCCAGCUUUACGUCUUCGGGCUCCUGUUCCAGCAUGUCAGAUCCUGGACUCAACACUGGAGGCUGGAACAUAGGUAUGGAGAGGCAGGGGAGUGGACAGGUAGAGGAAAUGACUUUAUUCGCAUGAGCACCCUAGGCAAUAAAUGGCUAUCUGUGGUGGUGAUGGUGGUAAAGAAUUGCAAGUGGUUGUGGAUCUGAGAAGCAAAGAGCAAAAUUCCAUGGUGUUUUUUUUUGGUGCGUCAGGUACCAUGGCUGGAAAUGAGCAUGACUCCAAGUGCCAUCUGCCCUUGUUAAUGGUUUAAUGUUGAUGUUUCUUAUGACUCUUCCGUCCUUCCAUAGUGUGUUCUGUCAAACUGUGCACUGGUGGAACGAGUCUCCCUGCAAAAUUCACCCUGAUGUGCACGAGGACUCCAGGUCACUGUCAGCCCGCUGGAUGGGAGAUCACACUGGAGCCAAAACCAGCUCUCUCUAUGGCAGUGUCUCUCCCCAUGGCAGAUGGGUGGUGGGACAAACCACUCAGGAUGACCCUAUUACUAGACAACAUGUCUCUCUGAUAUUGGACUACAAGGAACCGAGGCAGCUUGCUUUGUCUAAUAGAGCAAACCUUCCCCAAGCCCCAUUCAGCUUUCGAGGACUUGAUUCCAAACAUCCGUCCCAUCCCUUCUAUUUUCCCGGGUAUUUGUGACCAAAGAUAAGUAGUUGGCUGUGGCUGGUGAUAUUUUGCUCCUCUCCUGGCUUGGCAGAUGCUCCAGGUGACGCUGCCUUGUUGCUGUGCUGGUCACACAAGGUGAUAUGGGAUCAUUGCUGCCAGAGCACUUGUCCAGUUUGAAGCCAGUCGUUCUGUACACCGCAGCCCAUAGCCAUUACCAGUUGGGACACUUCAGAUAUUUGCUGGAAGGGCUAUGACCAGGGACUUCGCGUUUUCUCUCUACUCCAGAGUUGUGGGAGAGGCGCUUGCUUUUUGACUUUGCGAUGGCCUAGCUAGAAUAGUGGCAGUCGGGAAGGCUCGAGUGUCAGUGGCAGCCCUUACAAGUGACACAAAUACUUUGGAUCCUACAAGCAUUUCCCACCAAGUUAACGCUUUUCAGAAAAGUCAGCAUUCAGGGCUGACUUGUUUCCCCAGGGUCCAGUGUAAUGCCAUUUACAUGAUAUUUGACUCUCAAUGGCCUACCUGGCUGAGCACAACAUUGGGCCCAAGCAGCAGCAAACCUUUAAUCGCUCCAUGCAGUUUGCAGCUAUCUAUGGAACAGGGAAGGGAGCAGAAGCAAGGACAAUCCCACUGAUGUUGGUGUGCCACUCUUCUCCCUACACCCAGGGGUCAUGCGCUUCUCUGAAAGAUUUCCUCCAUGAGGCCCCUUUUGAUACCAGCGUCCUCACAUGGCCCUAGAGGAACAAGAAUCCUCCCCUCCCCCAGCCCAAGGUGUGGAACCCCUGACACCAGCGUGCUCCCAGCCACUGGGAAUGGAACUGUACUGAUGCUAACUUUCCUACCAGCACCCAGCGGUGCAAGUCUCCUGUGAAGUGAUCUGUGUGUUUUCAUAUGGGUUGGAAGACCAGGUGCAGCCUUCUGAAUCCAGAUUCCCUGUGUCCUGGGAGCCUUCUCCCCAUACAGUCAUUGCAUGGCCCCUUUGCUGGGGAGCUGGAGGGAUGCUCUCAAGAGGCUGAUUGCAAAUGAAAGGGUUGGCUCUGGCUCCCUGCGAUGUAGCAGUGUUUGUAAUGGUGUAGACCAGGGGUUCUCAGCCUUUUGCUAUCUGAGGCCCCCACAACAUGCUCUAAAACUCCACAGCCCACCUGUGCCUCAACAACUGGUUUUCUGCAUAUAAAAACCAGGACUGGUAUUAAGGGUUAGCAAGCAGGGCAAUUGCCCAGGGCCCCACAUCGCAGGGGGUACCAUGAAGCUAAGUUACUCAGGCUUCUGCUUCAGCCCCAGGUGGCGGGGCUCAGGGCCAUGCAGUGGAGCUUCGGCUUUCUGCCCUGGGCCCCAGCGAGUCUAACACUGGUCCUGCUUGGCAGACCCCCGAAACUUGCUCACAGCCCCCGGGGAGCGCCCCGGACCCCUGGUUGAGACGUACUGGUGUAGAAGACAAUAUUAACACUUCCUAGGGUGGGAGAGCACAUAGCUGCACAUGCUUCCAUCUAACUUUCACAUCUCCUCCCCACAUCACAGAGCCCCAUUCAUACCCCACUCAUCACUGCCUUUCUGGGGCACAUUAACCAUCUUUUGACUUGUGCAGCAAGCAAAGAGACAGAGCACACAUUCACCGCCUGGUGUGAGUCUUCGCCUGAUGACCUCCGCUACGGAAACCUGACGUACGCUGACCACCGGGAGCGCGAGAGAGAUCAACACGACAAGAACAAAAGGCUCCUGGACCCUGCCAACACU